UCGAGAGCAGCUUAGUGGCGGACGGGUGAGUAACGCGUGAGGAACCUGCCUUUCAGAGGGGGACAACAGCUGGAAACGGCUGCUAAUACCGCAUAACGCAGCGGGAUCGCAUGAUCCUGCUGCCAAAGAAUUAUCGCUGAAAGAUGGCCUCGCGUCUGAUUAGAUAGUUGGUGAGGUAACGGCCCACCAAGUCGACGAUCAGUAGCCGGACUGAGAGGUUGACCGGCCACAUUGGGACUGAGACACGGCCCAGACUCC
rnacentral:rRNA from 1 species